AGCUAUUUACGCUAGAUUGCUUCAAUAAGCAGAAAGAUAAGAAAAUCUAGAACCUGCAGAAUUAAUACUAGUACCUGAGAAACAACAAAAUCAGGGAGCGAAAACCCUUUGGUUUCUAUGAAAACACCUAGCAGACGAACCAUCCUUAUGCUUCCCCUUCUCUCGGCAUCAGUAAAGUUCAAUCUGGUGCCUCGCUCCAGCAGCGAUCUUGUUCAACCAACUCCUCUACAAAAUCUAGAACACCAUUUGACUCAAAAAACGCUAGUUUCAAUUUAAGCCCUUCACUCACCAAUUGGUGCGCCACUCCGUUUGCCGAUCGCUUAACAUGCAUGAAGCUAUAGACCUAAAAAUCCUUAGUCAUCUUUUUCAUGUCUUCAAUAUAUGCUGAAAUUUCCGAUCUAUCAUCCUCAUUGCUUUUCGCUUUUUUAAUCAUUGUGAGGGAAUCCCCUUCAACUUCCAAUCUCCUCAAACCUAGAUCUAAGCACAACUUCAUGGCCACUGUGCAACCCACUGCUUCCGCUGCAAGAGGCGAUGAGAUACUCUCAUGACAGCGUCAAAAUUUACUUUUAUACAAGCAUCUUUCGGGCCCUUCUACCGUUCCACUGCUUCUCUUCGCAAAGUCGCGCAACAUAUGUAGGAGAAUUUCUGCAUCAUCAUUACAUCGCGGUCAUCUAGCAGUGUUCAUUAGUCUCCUAUAGUGUAAAUUACUAAAAGUACGGAUAAUAUUCUGUAUAUUACGCCAUAUUAUAAUUUUAUUUCUAGUGGCGCUUUGAGCAACCACAUGUUUUUGUAAAGGCUGCAUUCUGUAUUAUGUACCUGUCUAGGAGUAGGACAAACCCUGUAUUAGAAGUUUGUAACUGCUGCGCACAGAGUACUCUCAAGAAGCUUCACCCCACCAUGCCAAAUGAUCAUCUCUCGGGCACCAUGAUAAAGGAAUUUUUAGGAUCCAUUCAGCAUCCCUCUCACUAAAUGUAUUGAAAAUCACAUUCCUCUUCCAUCUUCUAGUGUUAGGAUCGAUCAAGUCUGCCACUAUUUGUACAUUCUGAUUUUUAACACCGUCUUGAAUUUUGUAGCUAGCACUUUCUAAGACCCAAGAAUCACCCAAAACAAAAAUGGAAGUCCCUGUACUCACUCUCCAACAAAGGCCUUCAUGAAGGAGCCCUUUCGCAGCUCACAUGCUUUGCCAGGUAUAGGAAGGUAAAUUACCUAAACCUGCGUGGAUGAAGUCUGGUAACGGUUAGGAUUUCAAUUUUAACGUUCUAGCUAACAACGAAUUCGGAUAAGAAUUAAGUGCCACCCUUGCUUAGCUAAAAACGCUAAAUUGAACUUGGAUAAACAACGAAAACUGGGACCACCAUUGCAUCCGUGUUUACCUGCACCAAAACUUCCCCAUGAUAUUUUCCAUUCCUAUACAGAGCGAUUUCAACAAAAGAAAACAAGACAUUGAGUACACUGGAAUUGACUGCAAAAUCGAUUUUAUAAAAACUUUUUUACCCCAUUACGAAAGAAAUCUAUUACUCCAACUAUCAAUUUUGUAUUUAUACAGUCUUUGAGUUUUUGGAAAGCCUUACGUUUCGCUCUUCCCACCAUACUUGGGAGCCCCAAAAUAACUUCAGGAUUUUCUGAGCUACUGACACCCAAAGUAUCUUCCACCACCUGCUAUCCCGAACAUCAACAUUCGUGCUAAAAAAAAACUGGUAGAUUUAUAAAAGUAUAUACAUUGGCUCCUAUAACUUUCAUACUCCCUUAGUGCCAAAUAACCCUUUUUUUUCCCAAUCUCUUGUUUUUAAAAGUGUGCAAAAGUUCAUAGGCAGCAUCACAUUGUGAGUAAUCAACCUCCCCGAUACAAAUGCACUUUUACAGCACGUCUGGUUCACUGUAAUGGAAUAGGGCUGUAAUUGAAUAGAGCUGUAAUGAAAUAGAGUUAUAAUCAGUAAUUGAACUGUUUAGUUGAAUGGAA